UACGAAGGGGGCUAGCGUUGUCCGGAUUUAUUGGGCGUAAAGAGCGUGUAGGCGGCUUUGCAAGUCCGUUGUGAAAACUCGAGGCUCAACCUCGAGACGCCGGUGGAAACUGCAAAGCUAGAGUCCGGAAGAGGAGAGUGGAAUUCCUGGUGUAGCGGUGAAAUGCGUAGAUAUCAAGAGGAACACCUGAGGUGAAGACGGGUUGCUGGGCCGACACUGACGCUGAGUGCGCGAAAGCCAGGGGAGCAAACGGG
rnacentral:rRNA from 1 species